rnacentral:rRNA from 1 species
UACGUAGGGGGCAAGCGUUAUCCGGAUUUACUGGGUGUAAAGGGAGCGUAGACGGCAAGGCAAGCCAGAAGUGAAAGGGCAGGGCUCAACCCUGUACAUGCUUUUGGAACUGUGGUGCUAGAGUGCAGGAGAGGUAAGUGGAAUUCCUAGUGUAGCGGUGAAAUGCGUAGAUAUUAGGAGGAACACCAGUGGCGAAGGCGGCUUACUGGACUGUAACUGACGUUGAGGCUCGAAAGCGUGGGGAGCAA